rnacentral:rRNA from 1 species
GACGAACGCUGGCGGCGUGCUUAACACAUGCAAGUCGAACGCUGAAGCUCAGCUUUUGUUGGGUGGAUGAGUGGCGAACGGGUGAGUAACACGUGGGUAACCUGCCCCCUUCUUUGGGAUAACGCCCGGGAACGGGUGCUAAUACUGGAUAUUCACUGGUCUUCGCAUGGGGGUUGGUGGAAAGGGUUUUUCUGGUGGGGGAUGGGCUCGCGGCCUAUCAGCUUGUUGGUGGGGUGAUGGCCUACCAAGGCUUUGACGGGUAGCCGGCCUGAGAGGGUGACCGGUCACAUUGGGACUGAGAUACGGCCCAGACUCCUACGGGAGGCAGCAGUGGGGAAUAUUGCACAAUGGGCGCAAGCCUGAUGCAGCGACGCCGCGGGAGGGAUGGAGGCCUUCGGGUUGUGAACCUCUUUCGCUCAUGGUCAAGCCGCAACAAUGGUUGUGGUGAGGGUAGUGGGUAAAGAAGCGCCGGCUAACUACGUG